AUGAAGCUCCUAUGUUGGAACAUUAGGGGCUUCAGCCUCGCUGGCCGGCGAUGGCAGCUCAUCGAGUAUUUGCGGCAAGAGGAGAUUGGCAUCGUCGGUCUUUAGGAGACGAUUCGCCAGGACUUCAGUAUGCUUGAGCUCCAGGGGCUCUCUCGCCGCCAGUUUGCCUGGCAGUGGCUGCCUGCCAUGGGCCAAUCUAGGGGCAUUUUGCUCGGGGUCAGGGAGGAUGUCUUCUCGGUUGAGGAUAUGGACCGAGGGGAAUUCUUCCUGAGCAUGUCGGUCACCAACCGUCGAGUCCACCUCAGUUGGGAGGUGAUUUUUGUCUAUGGCCCUGCAGACCAUGGAUGCUCUGUCGCCUUCCUUGCUGAGCUAAAGCAUAAGGUGGAGAGGUGCACCACUCCGGUGGUGGUGGCUGGAGACUUUAAUCUCAUUAGUUGGGCUUCUGAUAAAAGCUCGCCUAAUGUUGAUCGGGUCUGCAUGCGUCUAUUUAGUGAUUACAUUGCAGACCUGGCGCUCCGUGAGAUAGCCCGCGUAGGGGCUAGGUUCACGUGGACGAAUAAACAGGCGGACCCCAUCCGGAGUGUCUUGGAUCGGGUCUUUGUGCUCUCUCAAAGCGGUCACUCGGAUUGGCCCCGACCAUACCCCCCUGAUUUUCUCGUCGGGGGAUGA
rnacentral:rRNA from 1 species